rnacentral:misc_RNA from 1 species
CUGAGUUAGGGUCUUCCCGGCCCGACCUCCAACCCUUGUGUUUAUUAUACCACGUUGCUUCGGCGGGCCCGUCUUCACGGACCGCCGGAGGGUGUCAAACCCCUCUGGCUAGUGCUCGUCGAUAGCCUUCAAACCAAAACUCUUGAUUAACCAUGUCGUCUGAGUCUAAAUGUUAAUUAAAACA